rnacentral:rRNA from 1 species
GGAUAUCUUUAGUAAUUGCGAAUGAACAAGGAUAUGCUUAGCUUGACAAAUGGAGCUAUUGGCUUUGAAUUGUAUUGUGGAAAUGUAUUACCAACAGAGGUGCAGGUGCCAGCCUAUUGAAAUAAAGCGUCAAUGAGGGUGAGAAUCCUGUUUGUCAUGUGCAGCCCUUUGUGCACGGUGUAUAUUUGCUGAGUCACACUCCUUGGCAUUGGAAUGCAAAGUGGGUGGUAAGUUUCAUGUAAAGGUAAACAUGCAAUUGAGACUGAUAGCACACAAGUACCAUGAGGGAAAUAUGAAAAGGACUUUGAAAAGAGAAUUAAAUGAGUUUGUAUUUGCUGAACACAAAGUAAACAGACUUGAUUUGCUUGGUGGGAGUGUUGCACUUGCUUGACAAGAGCUUUGGGCUGUGGGUGUAAUGAUUCUUUCUUUGCAUGCCAGUUUCUAUUUGUACAUCUGAUUACCUUUGCACAUGAAUGAUAAGUCUCCUGUGGGGGGUGGAUUGCAUGUGCAUGUAAUGAUUUGUGUUUUGAUAAAUGUGUCUGGUGUAUGUGUGUGUUCCUGUGCUUGGGGAUGCUUCCUUCCUUGGACUUACAAGCCCUGACACACACAUGCUGGCAAAAUGCUUCUGCUUGACCCGUCUUGAAACACGGACCAAGGAGUCUAACAGAUGNGCAAAGUUUGAAGGUGGUAUACCUUUGUGUGCAAUGAAAGUGUCAGCUGGGAUAUGUGCACCAGCACCCAAUUAAUUAGCGGACAGAGGUUUGAGUUGGAGCAUAUCUAUUAGGACCCGAAAGAUGGUGAACUAUGCCUGAACAGAAUGAAUUCAGAGGAAACUCUGAUGGAGGUUCGUAUCGAUACUGACGUGCAAAUCGUUCGUCAUAUUUGGGUAUAGGGGCGAAAGACUAAUCGAACCAUCUAGUAGCUGGUUCCCUCCGAAGUUUCCCUCAGGAUAGCUGGAGUUGCUCAGUUUUAUCAGGUAAAGCGAAUGAUUAGAGGAAUUGGGGACAGGUUUGUCUUUGACCUAUUCUCAAACUUUAAAUGGGUAAUAUGUAGUGGUUGCUGUAUGGAACUUCUAAGAUAAAUGGCAAUAUUGGGUGGCCCAUUUUUGGUAAGCAGAACUGGCGAUGAGGGAUGAACCUAAUGUGGGGCUAAGGUGCUUAAUUACUUGCUCAUUUGAUACCAGAAAGGGUGUUGGUUCAUUUUAACAGCAGGACGGUGGUCAUGGAAGUCGAAAUCCGCUAAGGAGUGUGUAACAACUCACCUGCCGAAUGGACUAGCCCCGAAAAUGGAUGGCGCUCAAGCGGGUGACUGAUACCCAACCAUUGUUGUAAACAACAUCAAUGUGUAGGAGGGCAUGGUGGCUUGUGACACAGCCUUUG